rnacentral:lncRNA from 1 species
AGAUUUACAAGGUUGCAGGAGAUUCACUCAUUUUUUCUGCGUCAAAGAAGCUGAUUUUGUUGAAUUUGAAAGGUUGUACAAGUCUUUCAACUCUUCCAGGCAAGAUCUUUUUGUUUUCACCACCAGUUAAGUAACAUUACAAAUUAAAUCAAUUUUAGGUCUGACAAAAAGCUGCAAAUUGAAGAAAAAGGGCACAUACUUUCUUAGAGGCUAGACUUAGCU